GACGAACCGUGCGAACGUUAUUCGGAAUCACUGGGCUUAAAGCGCGUGUAGGCGGGACGGCACGUCUGUCGCUGAAAUCCCCCGGCUUAACCGGGGAACUGGCGGAGAUACGACCAUCCUGGAGGGGCGUAGGGGGACCUGGAACUUCCGGUGGAGCGGUGAAAUGCGUUGAGAUCGGAAGGAACGCCCGUGGCGAAAGCGAGGUCCUGGACGCCUACUGACGCUGAGACGCGAAAGCCAGGGGAGCGAACGGG
rnacentral:rRNA from 1 species